rnacentral:rRNA from 1 species
AGCAACAGCUAGCUUAACUCACCCAACAAUUGAACAAUAUAAAUAAAUAAAAAUAAGUCUAACACUAAAAACUAAACCAUUCUUUUACCUGAGUAUGGGAGACAGAAAAGGUUACACCGAAGCAAUAGAGAUAGUACCGCAAGGGAAGGCUGAAAGAGAAAUGAAACAACCCAUAUAAGCAUAAAAAAGCAAAGAUUAAAUCUUGUACCUUUUGCAUCAUGAUUUAGCCAGCACACCCAAGCAAAGAGACCUUUAGUUUGAAACCCCGAAACCAGGUGAGCUACCCCGAGACAGCCUAUUAUAGGGCCAACCCGUCUCUGUGGCAAAAGAGUGGGAAGAACUCCGGGUAGAGGUGAUAGACCUACCGAACCUGGUGAUAGCUGGUUGCCUAAGAAAUGAAUAGAAGUUCAGCCUCGUACUCCCCAAAUCAAAACACCAACAAGACACCAAGAGAAAUAUACGAGAGUUAGUUAAAGGGGGUACAGCCCCUUCAACAAAGGACACAACCUUUCCAGGAGGAUAAAGAUCAUAACACAUAAAACAUGCUACUUUAGUGGGCCCAAAAGCAGCCACCUAGACAGAAAGCGUUAUAGCUCAGACAGAAAAAAGUUUAUUAUACUGACAAAAAAUCUUACUCCCCUAACUACUAUUAGGCCAACCCAUGCCUACAUUGGAGAGACUAUGCUAAAAUGAGUAACAAGAAGGCCCGCCCUUCUCCAUAGCGCAAGUGAAAGCCAAACCGGACCAACCAUUGGCAACUAACGAACUCAACCCCAGAGAGCAGUGUGAACUACAAAAAACCAAGAAAAAUUCACAACCCGCUUAUCGUUACCCCCACACUGGAGCGCCACUAAAGGAAAGACUAAAAAAAAGGGAAGGAACUCGGCAAACAUAAGCCUCGCCUGUUUACCAAAAACAUCGCCUCCUGCAACACAACCGAGUAUAGGAGGUCCAGCCUGCCCAGUGACCACAAGUUUAACGGCCGCGGUAUCCUGACCGUGCAAAGGUAGCGCAAUCACUUGUCUUUUAAAUAGAGACCUGUAUGAAUGGCCAAACGAGGGCUUAACUGUCUCCCCUUUCAAGUCAGUGAAAUUGAUCUGCCCGUGCAGAAACGGC